UACGUAGGUGGCAAGCGUUGUCCGGAAUUACUGGGCGUAAAGGGCGUGUAGGCGGCCUUUUAAGUCAGACGUGAAAACCCUGGGCUUAACCCAGGAACUGCGUUUGAAACUGGAAGGCUUGAGGACCGGAGAGGGUAGUGGAAUUCCCAGUGUAGCGGUGAAAUGCGUAGAGACCCGGAGGAACACCAGUGGCGAAGGCGGCGUCCUGGCCUGCGACUGACGCUGUGGCGCGAAAGCUAGGGGAGCGAACGGG
rnacentral:rRNA from 1 species